UACGUAGGGGGCAAGCGUUGUCCGGAUUUAUUGGGCGUAAAAGGCUUGUAGGUGGCCACGCCAAGUCGGAUGUGAAAUCUCCCGGCUCAACUGGGAGGGGUCAUUCGAUACUGGCGGGCUCGAGGCCGGUAGGGGGAAGUGGAAUUCCCGGUGUAGUGGUGGAAUGCGUAGAUAUCUGGAGGAACACCGGUGGCGAAGGCGGCAUCCUGGACCGGUAUUGACGCUGAGGAGCGAAAGCCAGGGGAGCAAAGCGGG
rnacentral:rRNA from 1 species